CCCGGGGCCUUUUAACAUGCAGGCGAUGGCGGGAAAACAAUCGAACAUCUGGUGGGCUUGCCGCAUCUCAUGCCGCCGGCGCUCCACCUCCGUCCUUGCCUCCAUCGCCUACAUGAAAGUCUCUUCCCCCAUCCCCUCGUCUUCUUCUCUUCCACAACGCACUUCUCGCAGGAGCGUCUUUUGAGAUAUGCGGUCCUCGGAGCUGGCUUCACUGGACUCUCUGAGUGGCUUGGCAUCUUCUAAAGCACGGUUCGAAGGAGUCUCGGAUAUGCAUAGAUAUUUAUGAUAAAGUUGGCAAAUGCGGUGGUGCAUCUGGUGUUUCUGGAGGACUCCAUCCUGACUCUCCUUGAGCUAAGCUUUUAUGGAGAGGCGUCGAAUGGUGGAAAGAUUGCCGGUAACUUUUAACCAUUGCAGAAAGAACAAUGGAAGCCGGAGCUUCAAAUAGGAUGAAUCAAGAUUUGUCAUGCAGAUUUGAUGAAACAAUAGUUUGGACAAGGCAGUCAUCUCUUCUCUGAAGUUUUUCCUUGAGGUUUUGAUAUGUCACCUGUAGAAUCGGGUUCAAGUAUGAC